rnacentral:rRNA from 1 species
CCUACGGGGGGCAGCAGUGAGGAAUAUUGGUCAAUGGGCUUACGCCUGAACCAGCCAAGUCGCGUGAGGGAAGACUGCCCUAUGGGUUGUAAACCUCUUUUGUCAGGGAGCAAUUGGCGCUACGUGUAGCGUUAUCGAGAGUACCUGAAGAAAAAGCAUCGGCUAAUUCCGUGCCAGCAGCCUCGGUAAUACGGAGGAUGCGAGCGUUAUCCGGUUUUAUUGGGUUUAAAGGGUUCGUGGGCGGAAUGCAAAGUCAGCGGGAAAAUCUCGGGGCUCAACCUCGCUCUGCAGUUGAAACUGGCGUUCUUGAGUGGGCGAGAAGUAUGCGGAAUGCGUGGUGUAGCGGUGAAAUGCAUAGAUAUCACGCAGAACUCCGAUUGCGAAGGCAGCAUACCGGCGCCCAACUGACGCUGAAGCACGAAAGCGUGGGUAUCGAACAGGAUUAGAUACCCGUGUAGUC